AAAUUGAAGAGUUUGAUCAUGGCUCAGAUUGAACGCUGGCGGCAGGCCUAACACAUGCAAGUCGAGCGGUAGCACAGAGAGCUUGCUCUCGGGUGACGAGCGGCGGACGGGUGAGUAAUGUCUGGGAAACUGCCUGAUGGAGGGGGAUAACUACUGGAAACGGUAGCUAAUACCGCAUAACGUCGCAAGACCAAAGUGGGGGACCUUCGGGCCUCAUGCCAUCAGAUGUGCCCAGAUGGGAUUAGCUAGUAGGUGGGGUAACGGCUCACCUAGGCGACGAUCCCUAGCUGGUCUGAGAGGAUGACCAGCCACACUGGAACUGAGACACGGUCCAGACUCCUACGGGAGGCAGCAGUGGGGAAUAUUGCACAAUGGGCGCAAGCCUGAUGCAGCCAUGCCGCGUGUGUGAAGAAGGCCUUCGGGUUGUAAAGCACUUUCAGCGGGGAGGAAGGCGUUAAGGUUAAUAACCUUGUCGAUUGACGUUACCCGCAGAAGAAGCACCGGCUAACUCCGUGCCAGCAGCCGCG
rnacentral:rRNA from 1 species